UUGAAGUUCAGCUGAAGUGCAAGCAGCGCGAACUUGAUAACUUGAUAACUUUGAAGGAUAACGAUAUAUAUUUUCCUUUCCUUUCCUUUUUCGUCUCACCCUGUCAUUUCACAAGCAGAGAGUGGAUUGAAUUCAUUUUUUAAUUAAGAAAAGAGCUUCGAUUGGUUUUAAGUUUGGAUUUAAGAAGACUCAGAAAAGAUGGCGAGCUUCCCACGGAGAUCUUUGCACCCCGCGCAUGGAGCAUCAAACCUGUGGUAGCCUGGCCAGCUACCAUAAGGUUUCUUCGACGACAGUUGAACAAGCACUUUGCAUCUUUGCGCGUGGACAGAUAAGUGCAAUCCUUUUCACACUGAGAAGGGAAUCCUUUGCAUACACGAACACAGGACUGUUGAUUGACUGAUUUUCCAUAUUGUUUUUCAUAUUGAUUUCCUGCAUUGUUUUUUCCUGUUGAACAUACUGAAUUGGUACACUGUUUUUUAAGUGUAUAUUUGAUUACUGAAGUGUUUCAUAUAGGGUGCAUUUUCUUUUGCUACUUUAAUUCGUAUUGAAUGUACAUUUUGGUGCAUAUUUACAUGUUUUUGUUAUUUUCUUUUAUUUAAUUAUACAUUUACACACACUUAUUCAUACACUGACUGCAACAUAUUCAAAUUUCUACAUUAACAUUCCAAGGAAACUGUACAAAAUAAAGUGUUUACUAUUUGCAA